GAUGGUAUAGCUCAAUUGUUAGAGCACAUGCUUAGCAUGCAGAAGGUCCUGGGUUCAAUUCCCAGCACCUCCA
rnacentral:tRNA from 1 species